rnacentral:rRNA from 1 species
AUUGAACGCUGGCGGCAGGCCUAACACAUGCCAGUCGAACGAGUUGCGAACGGGUGAGUAACGCGUGGUAACCUGCCUCAUAUCGGGGGAUAACUAUUGGAAACGAUAGCUAAUACCGCAUACUGUGAGAUGGACCUGCUUUGUAUUAGCUAGUUGGUGAGGUAAAGGCUCACCAAGGCGACGAUACAUAGCCGACCUGAGAGGGGGAUAGGCCACACUGGGACUGAGACACGGCCCAGACUCCUACGGGAGGCAGCAGUGGGGAAUAUUGCACAAUGGGCGCAAGCCUGAUGCAGCCAUGCCGCGUGUAUGAAGAAGGCCUUCGGGUUGUAAAGUACUUUCAGCGGGGAGGCGUUACCCGCAGAAGAAGCACCGGCUAACUCCGUGCCAGCAGCCGCGGUAAUUC